rnacentral:lncRNA from 1 species
AGACGGGAUAGAGUUACUUCAAAUAUUAAGAAACCCUUGGUGGAAACAACAUGGGAAGGCAUCAUGGGAAGCAGACUGAGAGAGCGCAAAGUAAGCCUUCCAAAUCAUAAGCAAUGUCAAAUCAGUGGGCUGUCCCUUAAAAAACGAUGCACCCCAAGCAAAACGUAAAACGAACAAAAAGAAAAGAGAGUACUUGAAUGAAGAUGUGAAUGGAUUCAUGGGACACUUGAAACAGAGCUCACAGACACUUCACAAUGGAGAGCUGAUAGUUGCAGAUAGACAGGAAGUAAGGGAAGAAAUUUCAGAGACCAUAAAGAAGGACAGCUGAUGGGAACCAAGACAGUUAAAAAGACAAGCAGCAAAGAAAAUGACACUGAUAUAUUACCAUCUUAGAAAACCUGGCUGUGGAAUUUCUGAUUGCCCAGCUGCACUAGAAAGUCAAGACAUGGGCAUUGGUGUUUGUUACCACUGCUGGUCCAUGGGAUCAUGAAGUACAGAGGUAGCACAGACCCUGAACAUGGUAAAUUUCAUUUUGAAAAAUGUUGGGAUACCUGUCUAGGUUCUGUUCUGAUAAUAUCAAGGGAUGCUAUGCUGAUGGUGGCAUCUGUAAACUCUUUGGCUCUGUGGGACAUUUUAAGAAGAUUGACCUGAAAAUCAGAAUUCAGAUGGGAGCAUCACAGUUGAUUGCUGGGCAAAAGGAAUGAAUGCAGACUAUGAGGACAUUCUGGAUGUGCCCAAACUGCAGACAGCUAAAACUAAAGUACCCAAAGUUGUUAACUUUUUAUAAGAAUUGGUACUAUUGUCAAGGUUAUUUUCCAAAGUAGGCCUUUCGUGGUUAGAGCUGGGCAGCUAUGGAGACAAGCCUGUGUUAUGAAAAUCACUCUGACCUUGGUGGGGGCAAGUUGCCAGCAAUCUGUCUAUCAAGGGGUACAGUGUGAUUAA